GUAUAGAAGAGUGGGCUGGAGGGGUGUUCUUUUACGGAGAAUCAGCAAAUGACACGUGGAAAGGAAUAUUCUGCAAGUCGUUAUGGAGGAGCGUGGGUGAUAUAGCUUGGGUAUGAGGAAAUCAGCUAGGUAUUCGGAGAUGAGAAAAAAAAAGUUGUGAGGGAGUGAGUUGGUCUUGGGAGAAACAGGAGGAGAAGCCAAGGAGUAGAGAUUUCUGGGUUGGUUUUUUUGAAAGGAAGGAGAGCUUGUGGAUGAGCAAAUCUAGCUUGAGGAGAUACUCCAGAUCAAUCGAGGGUCACAAGUGGAUUGUUUCCAAAUGAACUCAUUGAACAACGAAAAUCACAUGUAUAGACGAUGAAGAUGUUUUCUUUACAACAAUUUAAGAAAUCCAACUUGAACUCUCUUGGAGAGGUCUUUCAUCCUUGGAGCAUAGAGAUGUGGGGGCAUGCGUGGAGUAGCACUAGUGAAGCUACACCAUGAUGUGUGGAUGACACACAAUGAAGAUGACUUUGUAUGGAUGACUCACCAUGAGGAUGAUGAUAUGCACAACUCCUUAAUAUAUAUAAAGAUAUGUUAUAGUGGAGUCGUAUAAUGGACUCUCGCUAUCUUAAAUACUUGUCGAUCUUCAUCAUUUGCAGAGAUUGAACAAAUUUGGAAUGUUGAAGCCCUUAAAAGCAUGACAUGAUGUAAUAAAUUUGGAAUUCAUUAUUUAUUUAAUGAUGUUCCAGUUUCACUUUU